rnacentral:rRNA from 1 species
AACGCGAAGAACCUUACCUAGCCUUGACAUGCACUGGACAGGCGCUGAAAGGCGCUCUUCCCGCAAGGGACCGGUGCACAGGUGCUGCAUGGCUGUCGUCAGCUCGUGUCGUGAGAUGUUGCGUUAAGUCGCGCAACGAGCGCAACCCCUGUCCUUAGUUGCCACCAUUUAGUUGGGCACUCUAGGGAGACAAACCCUCUUUGAGGGUGGGAAGGUGGGGACGACGUCAAGUCAGGAUGGCCCUUACGGCUAGGGCUGCACACGUGCUACAAUGCCCGGCACAGAGGGACGCAAUACCGCAAGGUGGAGCAAAUCCUCAAAACCGGGCCCAGUUCAGAUUGUAGUCUGCAACUCGACUACAUGAAGUUGGAAUCGCUAGUAAUGGCGUAUCAGCUACGACGCCGUGAAUACGUUCCCGGGCCUUGUA